CUACUACGGAGAGUUUGAUCCUGGCUCAGGAUGAACGCUGGCGGCGUGCUUAACACAUGCAAGUCGAACGAACCUUCGGGUUAGUGGCGGACGGGUGAGUAACGCGUGGGAAUCUGCCCUCAGGAGGGGGAUAACGGUUGGAAACGGCCGCUAAUACCCCAUAUGCCGAGAGGUGAAAUGAAUUUCGCCUGAGGAUGAGCCCGCGUCUGAUUAGCUAGUUGGUGAGGUAAUGGCUCACCAAGGCAUCGAUCAGUAGCUGGUCUGAGAGGAUGAUCAGCCACACUGGGACUGAGACACGGCCCAGACUCCUACGGGAGGCAGCAGUGGGGAAUUUUCCGCAAUGGGCGCAAGCCUGACGGAGCAACGCCGCGUGAGGGAUGAAGGCCUCUGGGCUGUAAACCUCUUUUCUCAAGGAAGAAGAUCUGACGGUACUUGAGGAAUAAGCCACGGCUAAUUCCGUGCCAGCAGCCGCGGUAAUACGGGAGUGGCAAGCGUUAUCCGGAAUUAUUGGGCGUAAAGCGUCCGCAGGCGGCUUUUCAAGUCUGCUGUUAAAACGUGGAGCUUAACUCCAUCAAGGCAGUGGAAACUGAUUGGCUUGAGUGUGGUAGGGGCAGAGGGAAUUCCCGGUGUAGCGGUGAAAUGCGUAGAUAUCGGGAAGAACACCAGUGGCGAAGGCGCUCUGCUGGGCCAUAACUGACGCUCAUGGACGAAAGCCAGGGGAGCGAAAGGGAUUAGAUACCCCUGUAGUCCUGGCCGUAAACGAUGAACACUAGGUGUCGGGGGAAUCGACCCCCUCGGUGUCGUAGCCAACGCGUUAAGUGUUCCGCCUGGGGAGUACGCACGCAAGUGUGAAACUCAAAGGAAUUGACGGGGGCCCGCACAAGCGGUGGAGUAUGUGGUUUAAUUCGAUGCAACGCGAAGAACCUUACCAGGGUUUGACAUCCUGCGAAUCUCUUGGAAACGAGAGAGUGCCUUUGGGAACGCAGUGACAGGUGGUGCAUGGCUGUCGUCAGCUCGUGUCGUGAGAUGUUGGGUUAAGUCCCGCAACGAGCGCAACCCACGUUUUUAGUUGCCAGCAUUCAGUUGGGCACUCUAGAGAGACCGCCGGUGAUAAACCGGAGGAAGGUGUGGAUGACGUCAAGUCAUCAUGCCCCUUACAUCCUGGGCUACACACGUACUACAAUGCUACGGACAAAGGGCAGCAAGUUCGCGAGGACAAGCAAAUCCCAUAAACCGUGGCUCAGUUCAGAUCGUAGGCUGCAACUCGCCUACGUGAAGAAGGAAUCGCUAGUAAUCGCAGGUCAGCAUACUGCGGUGAAUACGUUCCCGGGCCUUGUACACACCGCCCGUCACACCAUGGAAGUUGGCCACGCCCGAAGUCGUUACUCCAACCCUUGUGGAGGAGGACGCCGAAGGUGGGGCUGAUGACUGGGGUGAAGUCGUAACAAGGUAUCCGUACCGGAAGGUGCGGAUGGAUCACCUCCU
rnacentral:rRNA from 1 species